rnacentral:lncRNA from 1 species
GAGUCGAGAACUUACUUUGGAGACCUCCGCGAUCUUCUAUUUAUAGAGGAAGAGUUUGAGCCAUGCAUGCCAGAAAGUCUUGGCAAUCCCCGAUUAUCGCGCAUAGAUUAGGCUGAUGGGAGUUUCUUCCAUUUAAGGCACUGCUCGAUCGAAGAUAUUCUUCCUUAUUUAGAUUUUUUUGAAAUGGAGCCAGGAUUGAUUUUGCCAACAGAGCAUGCUAUGUGCAACAG